rnacentral:misc_RNA from 1 species
CGCACAUUGCGGCCUUUGGUAUUCCGAAGGCCAUGCCUGUUCGAGCGUCAUUAUCACCCCUCAAGCCCCGUGCUUGGUGUUGGACGGCUUGGUCGCGCCUGCGACCCCUCCUAAAGACAACGACGGCGGCCUGUGGUUCCCCCGGUACAUUGAGUGUAUUCGCACACGUAUCGGACAAGGGCGCCCGGGUCCCGGUCCCCUCCCCCCCCGCGGGGACAUUUUUAUCUAGGUUGACCUCGGAUCAGGUAGGGAUACGCGCUGAACUUAA